rnacentral:rRNA from 1 species
GGUAAUUCCAGCUCCAAAAGCGUAUAUUAAAGUUGUUGCAGUUAAAACGUCCGUAGUCGAACUUACGCCUUGUGGCUAUGCAGCUGGUCAUUCAUUUGGCUAGAUUUGUUUUAGCCCGGGUGAUAAAGUUUGGGUAUGAUCAUGUUGGCUUCGGUCGGUGUGGUUCUCUGCCCAAGCGUAUUACCAUGAGCAAAUCAGAAUGCUCAAAGUAGGCCUUCGUGCCUGAAUGUGUUAGCAUGGAAUAAUGAAAUAGGACCCUAGUCUUGUUUUGUUGGUAUACUUGACCUUGGGAAAUGAUGAAUAGGAACGGUUGGGGGCAUUUGUAUUUGGUCGCUAGAGGUGAAAUUCUUGGAUUGACCGAAGACAAACAACUGCGAAAGCAUUUGACCUAGGACGUUUCCAUUGAUCAGGGACUAAAGUUGAGGGAUCGAAGACGAUUAGAUACCGUCGUAGUCUUAACCACAAACUAUGCCGACUAGCGAUUGGAUCCUCGCCACUGGCAGGAUUCAGCAGCUUAGCGAAAGUAAAGUUUUUGGGUUCUGGGGGGAGUAUGGGACGCAAGGCUGAAACUUAAAGGAAUUGACGGAAGGGCACCACCAGGAGUGG